CUGACGAUUAUCAUCAUUGCCUUAACCAGUGAAGGACUUUAUUCUAUGGCGAUGAAGAGUCAGCUACAGUAUCUGGGUUUGUGUGGAAUUCUGCUGCAUCUUACAUGUGGAGAUGAAGUGAUUUCCAUCAGUAAGCAUCUGAAGGAGAAUGUUACGCUGCAUUGUGACACACCUGGCAGGAUUGUAGCAAGAAUCAGAUGGCUAAAGGAUGGAAUCCAGGGGUUUACAUAUAGCUCACAAUUGCCCAACAGAACCAAAACAAACUUCACUUCAAAAAGGAUAAGUGUUGAUCCUGUUAUUAUGAUGCUGCAUAUAUCUGAUGUGAAUGUAUUUGAUGAGGGAAUAUACAUGUGUGAAGUAAAAAGCUCUUCAGGACUCAUGAGGACAAGAACAUGGAACGUAACCAUUCUUCAACUUCAACCAACUUCAGUCUCACCAGAUCCCUUCCCAUUGGUAUACAUCAUCACUGCUACCAUAUCAGGGAUAGUCCUCAUCAUCAUCUGUACAUGUAUAUGUAUUUACAG